AGUCGUAACAAGGUUUCCGUAGGUGAACCUGCGGAAGGAUCAUUAAAGAAAUUUAAUAAUUUUGAAAAUGGAUUUUUUUGUUUUGGCAAGAGCAUGAGAGCUUUUACUGGGCAAGAAGACAAGAGAUGGAGAGUCCAGCCGGGCCUGCGCUUAAGUGCGCGGUCUUGCUAGGCUUGUAAGUUUCUUUCUUGCUAUUCCAAACGGUGAGAGAUUUCUGUGCUUUUGUUAUAGGACAAUUAAAACCGUUUCAAUACAACACACUGUGGAGUUUUCAUAUCUUUGCAACUUUUUCUUUGGGCAUUCGAGCAAUCGGGGCCCAGAGGUAACAAACACAAACAAUUUUAUCUAUUCAUUAAAUUUUUGUCAAAAACAAGAAUUUUCGUAACUGGAAAUUUUAAAAUAUUAAAAACUUUCAACAACGGAUCUCUUGGUUCUCGCAUCGAUGAAGAACGCAGCGAAAUGCGAUACGUAAUGUGAAUUGCAGAAUUCCGUGAAUCAUCGAAUCUUUGAACGCACAUUGCGCCCCUUGGUAUUCCAGGGGGCAUGCCUGUUUGAGCGUCAUUUCCUUCUCAAACAUUCUGUUUGGUAGUGAGUGAUACUCUUUGGAGUUAACUUGAAAUUGCUGGCCUUUUCAUUGGAUGUUUUUUUUCCAAAGAGAGGUUUCUCUGCGUGCUUGAGGUAUAAUGCAAGUACGGUCGUUUUAGGUUUUACCAACUGCGGCUAAUCUUUUUUUAUACUGAGCGUACUGGAACGUUAUCGAUAAGAAGAGAGCGUCUAGGCGAACAAUGUUCUUAAAGUUUGACCUCAAAUCAGGUAGGAGUACCCGCUGAACUUAAGCAUAUCAAUAAAAGUCG
rnacentral:rRNA from 1 species